ACUUCAUCAUCCUUUCGGUCGUCGCCGUUCGCGCCAUCACCGGUGAACCAUGCCUACGUUCACGAGUCAAGCACUCCUUGUAAAAUCGCGAACACCAUAACACUGUGAUCAGUGCCCAUCCUCGUGUCAUUCAAUCAUCUUAUUUGAAGUCCCUGCCGGUGACCUCUGAUAUUCCGUCCGUAUGGUUUCUUAUUGAUGGGGUCGUAAUUGAUAUCCAUGAAACCAAAGAUUUCCUGGUAAAAGCAUCGGAUGUCCUACGGUAGAUCCUCAUUUUGGGAGUUGGAGGAGAAGAAUUCAAAGAAAUGGAGAUUUUAGAUGCUGACAAGGGGGAAAGACUUGAAAGCUUAACCGGAGAAGUUACUUCACUCCAUAUUGUUCAAUUGUUCCAUUUAGAUAUAUACAAGUCAUCUUGAUAAACUUCAUUAAGGUUAUGGUGAGUAUGAAAUGUGGAUACAUCAUUCCCAUGGAAAUGGCAAUACCUUUCUACAUUGGCCCAUACUUUGCUAUUGAUAUGUGCACAGGAAGUUUGAUCUUAUUCGUCUGGGAAAAGUUAAACAAG